rnacentral:misc_RNA from 1 species
CUCUUCAUGAUCGGUACUGGUUUAGCAAUCCUUGGCGCUGGCAUCCUUGGCGCUGGCGCUUCGAUGUACGGGGCGAAUAAGGCGGCUAGCGUGCAGGGGGACNGCCAGGCCGCAGCCCUCCAGCAGCAGCAGAUGGCCGAGAACAAGGCCAACUUCGAUCCGUUCAUCAAGAGCGGGCAAGGCGCCUCCAACCUCUUGCAGUCGUUCUAUG